UACGAAGGGUGCAAGCGUUAAUCGGAAUUACUGGGCGUAAAGCGCGCGUAGGUGGUUCAGUAAGUUGGAAGUGAAAUGCCCGGGCUCAACCUGGGAACUGCUUUCAAAACUGCUGAGCUAGAGUACGGUAGAGGGUGGUGGAAUUUCCUGUGUAGCGGUGAAAUGCGUAGAUAUAGGAAGGAACACCAGUGGCGAAGGCGACCACCUGGACUGAUACUGACACUGAGGUGCGAAAGCGUGGGGAGCAAACAGG
rnacentral:rRNA from 1 species